UGGUUAAACGCAUGCAUGCUUUAACAAGAAGAACUCAAUGACCUCCCCCACCCGAUGAAAAAAGUCCGCUCCCUAUAUAUAUAUGCGGCCCUUCAGCAUUUUCCCUUCAGUUGCCAAACGAGGAACGUAAAACUGCACCCUGCUUGCCCUGGCGUUGAAGACACUGUUGAGGAGGAGCUGAUGGGGUUUGUUUGAUGCUAAUGUUGAGGGAUGCUCAUUAGCCACUGGAUACACUGAUCGCAGCAGACAUGAUCACCCGACUGGGCAGACUGACUCCGGGAUACUUUCGACUCCUCCAGAGGCAGGUGGCUGGUGAGGUCCAGACACAGCCAAAAGACGGGAUGGUGAAUCACAUCGCCUUGCUGUUAGCCAUAGUGGGGCUGGGCCUGUCCUACUACAGCACACGGAAAAUGACAGCACAGGCCAGUUCAAUACCAGCACCCUGAACCAGAGGGAGAGAGAGGGAGAAGAGUUUAAAUGCCAGUCAUGGUCAGGAUCACCCAAGGGACACUGCAAAGCAUAUAGUGUACGGGUUUCUGUCAGGAAGGGUCAACGCUUUGCAAACGGAUAGCCUUUAGAUACAACAAUUCUUCUGCACAGUUCAUGAACACAUGUUCCUCAAGUCUGAUCAGUCAUUACAAAUACGGUCAUUUAAUCGUUUCAACAAAGUCCACAAACAAUGUUGUUCGUCAGAUGGUUGUUUUUAACUGUGAAUAGUUUUUUAGCUAUGUAGAAUGGGGAAUGCAGCAAAAAGGGACGGUUUUCGGGAUGUCAUUGUAAUUUUUUAUUAAGAUUUAAUAACUACCCUUCAACAAGUAUUGUCACGCAGGGAACUGUGAUCCCGGUUGGAGUGUAGCGCAUUUUCAUGUAAUAUUUGUCAUGUGUUGCAGGGACAUGACUUACAAAUAGCAUACAGGCGGUUUCCAGCACUGUAAAGAAGCCAGGGAAAGUGGACCACAAACUCACAGUGAAAAAAACACUAGUGUAAUUCCAUUGAUAAUAUUGUAUUAAAGGAGCUCGGUUACAACAGACACACAUACUGAUAAAAUAUUUGUGCGAGUAGAUAUUUAAUACAUAACUACCUUGACUUUUCAUAAUAUUGCAAGGCUAAGCGUUUUCCCCCUUCAAUGCUGUUACCUUGGUCCCCUUCAUAGCUCCUGCAAUACUGUAAGAUACAAAACACGCCAUAGCACAGAAUAUGCAGCUGUGACAACACUCCCAGAAUGCUGCAUGCUGGGUUUUAACUGUAGAUUGUAGUCAAAUCUUAUCAAUGCAAGCACCUCUAUCCUUUUUUUUUUUUUUUUUUUAAAUUUAGUCAUUAAAUGACUAAAUUAAUUGGUUUUCUCCCCAAUUUA